AGGGUAGAGAAAGGUGUCACACAAGCUAACUUCAGCUAUGGUGUCCUUAUGCAUGUACUCACUAGCUUCAAGUCCAUCACCACUAGCAUGCUCAACAUAGGGAACACAUAAAGAAGAAGUAGAUGGAAUUUCUAAGCAUGCACCACCUUUUAUUUCAAGAGAAUAAUCCCCACAUAGAUAUAAAUCACCAUGGGCAGCAAAGGAAUCAUUCACAAAAACAUUUUUACAAGAACAAUCAUAUUUCGGGUUUCCCAAGUAAUCAAGCAAAUCAUGGUCAUCUUCACCCGA
rnacentral:lncRNA from 1 species